UCCACGCCGUAAACGAUGUCUACUAGCUGUUCGUGACCUUGUGUCGUGAGUAGCGCAGCUAACGCACUAAGUAGACCGCCUGGGGAGUACGGUCGCAAGAUUAAAACUCAAAUGAAUUGACGGGGGCCCGCACAAGCGGUGGAGCAUGUGGUUUAAUUCGACGCAACGCGAAGAACCUUACCUACUCUUGACAUCCAGAGAAGACUGCAGAGAUGCGGUU
rnacentral:rRNA from 1 species